rnacentral:rRNA from 1 species
UCUGGAUCUGGGUCCACCUGGACCCGGUCCAGAUCAGACCUAUUGCCAUUCCUAAUUAAGACAGCAGGACAGUGGUCAUGGAAGUCGAAUUCCGCUAAGGAGUGUGUAACAACUCACCUGAUGAAUCAACUAGCCCCGAAAAUGGAUGGCGCUGAAGCGCGCGACCUAUACCCGGCCGUCGGGGCAAGUGCCAGGCCCUGAUG